UUCCGGUUGAUUCUGCCGGAGGGAACCCCUAUCGGGCUCCGCCUGAGCCAUGCAAGUCUACCAGGGGAGGGGUCCCCUGGUGGCGGACGGCUCAGUAAUACGCCGUCAACCUACCCUCGGGACCCUGAUAACCUCGGGAAACUGAGGAUAAUCAGGGAUAGGCGCACCAAGCUGGAAGGCUGGUGUGCCGAAAGUAGCCGAGGCCAUCCCCUUGGUCACGCCCGAGGAUGGGACGGCGGCCGAUCAGGUAGUUGGUGGGGUAACGGCCCACCAAGCCUACGACCGGUACGGGCUGUGGGAGCAGGAGCCCGGAGUCGGCCACUGAGACAAGGGGCCGGGCCCUACGGGGCGCAGCAGGCGGGGACAUUCCGCAAUGCGCGAAAGCGCGACGGAGGGAGCCCGAGUGCCACCCGUUAAGGGUGGCUGUCGCCGGGUGUAAAAGACCCGGUGUAGAAAGGGGAGGGUAAGGCUGGUGCCAGCCGCCGCGGUAAAACCAGCUCCCCGAGGGGUUCCCACGCUUAUUGGGCCUAAAGCGUCCGUAGCCCGCCCAGUAAGUCCGCAGUUAAAUCCAGCGGAAAACCGCUGGACUGCUGCGGAUACUGCUGGGCUAGGGGGUGGAAGGAGCCGGAGGAAUUCCCGGGGGAGGGGUAAAAUCCGUAGAUCCCGGGAGGACCACCAGUGGCGAAGGCGUCCGGCUAGGACACGCCCGACGGUGAGGGACGAAAGCUGGGGGAUCGAACCGGAUUAGAUACCCGGGUAGUCCCAGCCGUAAACGAUGCAGGUUAGAUGCCGGGUGAACCUACGUGUUCAUCCGGUGUCGAAGCGAAGGCAUUAAACCUGCCGCCUGAGGAGUACGGCCGCAAGGCUGAAACUUAAAGAAAUUGACGGGGGGGCACCACAAGGGGUGAAUGCUUGCGGUUCAAUUGGAUUCAACGCCGGGAACCUUACCGGGGGCGACAGCAGGAUGAAGGUCAGGCUGAAGACCUUACCAGACGAGCUGAGGGGUGGUGCAUGGCCGUCGCCAGCUCGUGUCGUGAGAUGUCCUGUUAAGUCAGGCAACGAGCGAGAUCCCCGCCCCUAGUUGCCAGCAGCUCCCGAAAGGGAGGCUGGGCAUAACUAGGGGGACUGCCGGCGAAAAGCCGGAGGAAGGUGGGGGCGACGGCAGGUCAGUAUGCCCCUAAUCCCCCGGGCCACACGCGAGCUGCAAUGGCGGGGACAACGGGAUGCGACCCCGAGAGGGGAAGCAAAUCCCUUAAACCCCGUCGUAGUCGGGAUCGAGGGCUGCAACUCGCCCUCGUGAACCUGGAAUCCCUAGUAACCGCGCGUCGCCAUCGCGCGGUGAAUACGUCCCUGCCCCUUGUACACACCGCCCGUCAACCCACCCGAGCGGGGCUAGGGCGAGGUUCAGUCGGGGCCGCAAGGCCCGCAGGCUGGGUCGAGCUUUAGCCCUGCAAGGGCGGGUAAGUCGUAACAAGGUAGCCGUAGGGGAACCUGCGGCUGGAUCACCUCC
rnacentral:rRNA from 1 species